UGCGUAGGUGGCUGCGUAAGUCAGUUGUGAAAUCCCCGGGCUUAACCCUGGGAACUGCAAUUGAUACUGCGUGGCUAGAGUUUGGGAGAGGGCAGUGGAAUUUCCGGUGUAGCGGUGAAAUGCGUAGAUAUCGGAAGGAACACCAGUGGCGAAGGCGACUGCCUGGCCUUUAACUGACACUGAGGCACGAAAGCGUGGGUAGCGAACAG
rnacentral:rRNA from 1 species